GCUCUCGUAGCUCAAUGGACAGAGCAACCGCCUUCUAAGCGGUCGGUUGGGGGUUCGAGUCCCUCCGAGAGCA
rnacentral:tRNA from 1 species